rnacentral:rRNA from 1 species
CCCUUAGAUGUCCUGGGCCGCACGCGCGCUACACUGACGAAUGCAACGAGCUUAUAACCUUGGCCGAAAGGUCUGGGUAAUCUCCAAAUUUCGUCGUGAUGGGGAUAGAUUAUUGCAAUUAUUAAUCUUCAACGAGGAAUGCCUAGUAAGCGCAAGUCAUCAGCUUGCGUUGAUUACGUCCCUGCCCUUUGUACACACCGCCCGUCGCUCCUACCGAUUGAAUGGUCCGGUGAAGCGUUCGGACCGUGGCCUUUGGACGGUUCGCCGUCUGUUGGCUGCGGGAAGUUCGUUAAACCUUAUCAUUUAGAGGAAGGAGAAGUCGUANCA